rfam:Psychromonas ingrahamii 37, complete genome.
GGGGAUGAUUUAGGACUCGACGGGAUUCUUGAAACCCAAGGUGCAUGCCGAGGUGGCGGUUGGCCUCGUAAAAAGCCGCCAACGUUAUAGUUGCAAACGACUCUAACUACUCUCUAGCAGCUUAGGCUAGCUAGCCUUCCACCCACGUUUCUCCUAUGGGCAGGGAUUCGGAAGGUCAUUCACAUUGGAUAGCGAGGGAACCUUGUUCGAGGGUGAACCGCGAAAUAGUAUCGGACUCGCUUUUUGAUAUCCUGUCAGUUGGAGAUCAACGAGUUAACCAAAUAACUGACUAAGCAUGUAGUGCCGAGGAUGUAGGUUUUUCGGACGGGGGUUCGACUCCCCCCAUCUCCACCA